rnacentral:lncRNA from 1 species
UUUUUUUUUUUUUUUUAAUUUUAUAAACUGUAGUUUUAUUUUCAUGUUACUCUGCUGUUACAUAGGGCAUAAUAUUUUCACAUGGCUUUGUUGGGACUACAGUCAAUGAUUAGCAAACACACAGUAUAGUGGUCCAAUGCUCUAAAGAACAAUCACUGGACAAACCAGAUACCCUCUCGUAUGUGCACAGAUCUGCAUGGAAAAGUACUAAAGUUUAGACUUGGACUUUCAUACUUUAUUUCUCUUUUCUAGUGUAUUAAGAAAGGACAUGCAUUUUAAUUUUCUCAAGGCAAUGCUUGUAUUCUGGCAGCAACAUGAUACUUCUCUCACAAGGUAAAGUGAAUACCAGAGCUACUAAGGCAGGAGGUAUAAGUUAAUUUUUAUUGGGAAGGAAGUUGUCAUCUUAAACAGGAGCAAAUGAAGAAUGCACAAGGGAAUUCCCUGUUAUCACAGAUAAAUGUAACUUCCAGAAUAUGUGACACAAGAGACAUUUCAAUCUGUGACCCCAAGUCUGGAUGCAUUAAGCACUUUCCUAUUCAAUCUAACACUUCUGGAUUCCUGCAAAAAGGGAAUUUGUAAUAAGAGCAUGGAAAAGUUGCUUCUGAAAGGAAACCCCUAAGAAGGUUCAGAAAAGGAAUAUAUCAGGCAUUCUUAAAGGAUGCUGAGCUGUGCAGGUCAGCUAACAGACUUGAAGGGUGAGUAAGCAGACUGCAGAAGCAUCACAGUUUCUGGGACAGGCAGAAGCAACACAGCUUCUGGGAUAAACCUCUUUUCGGGCCCCAGACAGCCAGGCACCUUCCCUGCCAGAGGAGAGGUGUCCGCUCGGGAGGGUUAAGCCUGAGACGGUAAGGGAGCCAUCUUGGGUCCCGAUCCCUCAGAGACUAGUCUACACAGGUGAGAAUGCAGACUGCAGAAGCAACACAGCUUCUGGCCAAGGCAGAAGCAACACAGCUUCUAGGACAGACCUCUUUUCAGGCUCCAGACAUUCCCACACCUUCCCCACCAGAGGAGAGGUAUCCACCCCGGAGGGCUCUUUCAGAGCAGGUGAUGGAGCCAUCUUGGGUCCCUGAUCCCUCAGAGACCAGUCUGAACAGGUCAGCACAUGGACUGCAAAGGGUGAGCAAGCAGACUGCAGAAGGGAUACAACUUCUGGUACAGGGAAAAGUGACACAGCUUCUGGGACAGACCCCGUUUUGGGCUCCAGACAUCUGGGCACCUUCCCCACCAAAGGAGAGGUGUCUGCCCAGGAGGGCUCUGACCACCAGAGCAGGUGAGAAAGCCAUCAUGUGUCCCAUGUCCCUCAGAGACCAAUCUGUGCCGGUGAGCAUGCAUACUGCAGAGGCAACACAUGUUCUGAGACAGGCCCUGUUUCAGGCCUUCAUCUUCAGCCAGGAGGCAGGUCUAAAUGCCAGAUAUCUGUGCACCUUCCCUGCAAGAGGAGAGUUUGCCUGCAGAGAGUACUCUGACCACUGAGACUCAGGAAGAUCUAGACUCCCAGGCCUGCUGACAGAGGCUAACAGAAUCACAGGAGGAACAAAAACCAACCAGAGACAACUAUAACAACUAACUCCAGAGAUUAUCAGAUGGCAAAAGGCAAACUUAAGAAUCUUAUUUACUGAAAUCAACCAAGUGGAAACAAAAAGAACUAUUCAAAGACUCAACCAAAACAGGAGCUUGUUCUUUGAGAAAAUCAACAAGAUAGAAAAACUCUUAGCCAAACAAACUAGAGGGCAUAGGGACAGUAUCCUAAUUAACAAAAUCAGAAAUGAAAAAGGAGACAUCAUGAGAUCCAACUACAAAAGGCUAUACUCAACAAAACUGGAAAACCUGGAUGAAAUGGACAAUUUCCUAGACAGAUAACAGGUACCAAAGUUAAAUCAGGAUCAGAUUAAUGAUCUAAACAGUCCUAUUUCCCCUAAAGAAAUAGGAGCAGUCAUUAAAAGUCUCCCAACCAAAAAAAAGCCCAGGACCAGAUGGGUUUAGUGGAGAGUUCUAUCAGACUUUCAAAGAAGACCUAAUUCCAACUCUUCUCAAACUCUUCCACAAAAUAGAAACAGAAGGUACUCUACCCAAUUCAUUCUAUGAAGCCACAAUUACUCUGAUACCUAAACCACACAAAGAUCCAACAAACAAGGAGAACUUCAGACCAAUUUCCCUUAUGAAUAUUGAUGCAAAAAUACUCAAUAAAAUCCUCACAAACUGAAUCCAAGUACACAUCAAAAAGACUAUCCAUAAUGACCAAGUAGGCUUCAUCCCAGGGAUGCAGGGAUGGUUUAAUAUACGGAAAUCCAUCAAUGUAUUCCACUAUAUAAACAAACUCAAAGAAAAAAAAUCACAUGAUCAUGUCGUUAGAUGCUGAGAAAGCAUUUGAUAAAAUCUAACACACCUUCAUGAUAAAAGUUAUGGAAAUAUUAGAAAUUUAAGGCCCAUACCUAAACAUGAUAAAAGCAAUAUAUAGCAAACCAAUAGCCAACAUCAAAGUAAAUGGAGAGAAGCUGGAAGAAAACCCACCAAAAUCAGGGACUAAACAAGGCUGCCCUCUUUCUCCCUACCUAUUCAAUUUAGUACUAGAAAUCCUAGCCAGAGCAAUUAGACAACAAAAGGAGACCAAGGGGAUACAAAUUAGAAAGGAAGAAGUCAAAAUAUCAUGGUUUGCAGAUGAUAUUAUAGUAUAUAUAAAUGACCCUAAAAUUUCCACCAGAGAACUCUUAAACCUGAUAAACACCUUCAGUGCAGUAGCUGGAUAUAAAAUUAAC